ensembl:lncRNA
AGCGUAGAAGUGUGUAGAGAAGCUCUAGGACAGCAGAGAAAAGAACUAAACUUGCAUUUUACUAUCUUCCCCAUGAACAUUAAGCAACCACUAAAUGUGAUUGAACAUACCAUCUUAUAUCUUCAAAUAGCACGAUGAAACCACAUAUCUAUCCAACAGUCAUCAUCACCUGAGCACAAAAGGAUCUCUUUGAGCCCAUAUUCCCUCCAGCCUAAUCCUGCUCUUUAUUUUGUCCAUCUCAGUUUAAACAUGGAUCUGGAUUUUUGCUAGUGUACUGAAAAAGAUAUGCCAGAUUCUCUGUCAGAAAAUACUGCAGAGGAUGAACCAAUCACAAGCUAUGUGACCCCAGGUUCAUCACAGAAUCACGGUGCCAGAUUAGAGGCAGGAGAGAACUGACAGUGGAGUACACAGUCAAUAGGCUGUUUGGAUUUUCCACUCGCAGGCCCAGGGACAGAGAAGCUGUUCUGGAAGUAAUUGGAACUUCAAAAAGAACAGGUGAAAGAAACACACGAUAAAUAAAGCUCAGCCCAGCUAAUGCUACAUGAACCGGCCCUGGCAUUUGUCAAUGAUCUUGCCCAGUUGAUUCUGGAGCAGCAGCAUAAGAGAGCUGGAGAGGGCCAUUUCUAAGCUUGUGGAACAUUCACAAAGCAGUGUUGCUAUUACAGUGGAAAUUCCAGAGGAGAUUUGUACUGUACCAAACACCAUGAAGAACAACAGCUGGUUGCCAUUGUGGCACUGGAAAGUCAAAAAGCAUGAGUUGAAAGGUUUAUAGAGACAUAAAAUGCUGGAAUGUCACACAACAGAUCAGUGGCCUAAUGAGGAGCUAAUCCUUGAUUGACCUGAAGUCAGUGGAGAGCAAUGAACAAGCCUUAGAAUAUGAUUCAUCUCAUGCCAAAGAUGGCUAAAGCAGAAGCACAUCACCAGUGUCAUAAUUAUUUGCCCCCAACAACCUAGAAGAAAGCCUAGGAAGACUAUGCUAAGGAUGAAUGUUUGCAUUAAAAAAGCAUUCCUUUAGCCGUCAGAAGAAGAAAAACACAGCUGGGAGCAGUAUCACAAAGCAGACGACCUAGAGGAAGAGAAGGCUGCAAGCUGUGCCUCGGUAGGGCAUGGACAGCUGCAGAAAUGGAGCUGCAAAGCAGCCGGUUGGAGAAAGCCAAGCCAAGCAGUAGCGUCGCUAUGAUAAAGCUGUGGGAAGCUUUUUGAAGCUCUGACAUGACUCCCCAAGCUGCGUGGUCAAUUGAAAGAGAAGCACUGCCUAGGGCAUGGUGGACUGAAGAAGCUCUGGGGAGGAGAGGUAAAGCAUGCUUAUGCCAAAGGGCAGGAGGCAGCUGGGCUACAACAGCGCUGAGAGGAAUCACUAAUGGCCGGCUGACCCAAAUGGUAAACAAGCAAAGCCAGGGCUGUGCUCAAACUCAGGGUAAGAAAAGGGGGAGUGUAUUUCCACCGAAGAUCUCUGGAUGAGACUGGAUAAGGAGAUCGAAUGCAUGUCUGAGAGGGAGCAUGUCAAGACUCAGCAGGGCAGUACACUGAAAAGAAAUGGUGCCCCUCUCAAUAUCAUCAGACAGUGAGAUCUAGCACUGAGCCAAAAUCCAAUGAUAAAACCCGGCAGUCCUGCCAAGCUUGCUUUCUACUGUUAUUUGAUGCAAUGGUCCUUCCUAUACUUGUAAAGAAAAAAAGGCGAAAUGCAGAAUGCCUUGGGGAUCCAAAUAGACAAAGGUAGAAGUACUCUCCAUGUGACUGGGAUGGCAAAUGUGUAUUCAGACUAGCAAAGUUUUGCUCAAUGAAAUUAUAGAGAUCCAUGUCUGACUCCAACCACUAUGGCAGAUGUUUGUAACCGUAGCCAAGCUUACCAUGAAAAAGGUCAAACUCAAUCCAGUGGAGAAAUUCAUCAUUAAUACAGCAAUUCAAACAAGAAGUUUUAGCUAUUCAUUCUUCUGAAGUCCCAUCCCUGCUGAUUUCUCUGCCUCAUUUACUGUAUAAACUGUUC